GAUGAAGAACGCAGCGAAAUGCGAUAAGUAAGGUGAAUUGCAGAAUUCAGUGAAUCAUCGAAUCUUUGAACGCACAUUGCGCCCGCUAGUAUUCUGGCGGGCAUGCCUGUCCGAGCGUCAUUUCAACCCUCAAGCCCCCGGGCUUGGUGUUGGGGAUCGGCGAGCCUCCGCGCCCGCCGUCCCCUAAAUCUAGUGGCGGUCUCGCUGUAGCUUCCUCUGCGUAGUAGCACACCUCGCACUGGGAAACAGCGCGGCCACGCCGUUAAACCCCCAACUUCUGAACGUUUGACCUCGGAUCAGGUAGGAAUACCCGCUGAACUUAAGCAUAUCAAUAAGCGGAGGA
rnacentral:misc_RNA from 1 species